rnacentral:ribozyme from 12 species
GCGGGCGAUCUUGAGGCAGUGCCACCAAAAAAUAGCCUUCGAGGAGAGGAGGAGGCGAAACGGUGCCUUCAUCGAGCGCACCCUUUCCUGGGAGCGACCAGCGCCGCGGAGGAAGCCCGAGGGGCUGCAAUUCUGCUCGGGGGUGAGUAU